GUUUCGUUCAUGACGCUCAAAACAAAGUGAAACAACUUGAACAAAAUGCAACAAGAUUGCUGGAAUUGAAAAGACAGCUUUUAGAUGGACAUGUGACAGAGGAGCAGCUUCUUGAGCAAGGAAAGUCGCAGCUGGCAAAAAUCACAGUAGCAAAGCUGCAGAAGAGAUUAGAAAUGUUGUAUUUUUCAGUCACUAGACGCACAAAAGAAAUAACUUCUAUUGCUGAUUCUAGCAAACGAAGAUCUUCCAUGAGAAGGAAAUGCCCUGAAGAGAAGUCCAAAAUAACAUCCACCGUAGAAGAGUUAAAUUGCCUCUCAAGUCUGUGUGCUCUUCCUACAACAAGUGCGGAAGAAAUCAUGUCUGGAGAUUUUGUUUAGUCGUUUAACCAGUGUGACAUAGAUAGUACGACUUCACAUGAUAUACCUGUGCGUUUCAAGGCACAAAUUGUCGAUAAGUACA